rnacentral:tRNA from 1 species
GGAUUUAUUGGUAUGUUGUCUUGCUGGUUCAUACCCGGAGUGUCAUAGGUUCGAAUCCUAUCGGAGCCA